rnacentral:rRNA from 1 species
AGGGUGCAGGGCGGAUGCCUUGGCACUAGGAGCCGAUGAAGGACGUGAUAAGCUGCGAUAAGCUUCGGGGAGUUGCACGUAAACUUUGAUCCGAAGAUUUCCGAAUGAGGAAACUCACUUAGAGUAAUGUCUAAGUAUCAUUAAGUGAAUACAUAGCUUAAUGAGGGGAACUCAGGGAACUGAAACAUCUAAGUACCUGAAGGAAGAGAAAGAAAUUCGAUUCCGUAAGUAGCGGCGAGCGAACGCGGAUUAGCCCAAACCAAUAAAGUUUUCUUUAUUGGGGUUGCGGACAUAUCAUAACGAAGAGGUAUCGUAAUUGAAGAGGUUUGGAAAGACCCACCACAGAAGGUAAUAGUCCUGUAUGUUAAACGAGAAGACUUNAGAUAUGAUCCAGAGUACCACGGGACACGUGAAACCCUGUGGGAAGCAGGAGGGACCACCCUCCAAGGCUAAAUACUACCUAGUGACCGAUAGCGUAUAGUACCGUGAGGGAAAGGUGAAAAGAACCCCGGGAGGGGAGUGAAAUAGAACCUGAAACCCUGCACUUACAAGCUGUGGAAGCACAUUUCUUGUGUGACCGCGUACUUUUUGUAGAACGGGCCAACGAGUUACGUUAAGUAGCAAGGUUAAGCACUUAAGGUGUGGAGCCGUAGCGAAAGCGAGUUUUAACUGAGCGUUCAGUUACUUGACGUAGACCCGAAACCGGGCGACCUACCCAUGAGCAGGAUGAAGCGAAAGUAAAAUUUCGUGGAGGUCCGAACCCACGAGCGUUGAAAAGCUCGGGGAUGACUUGUGGGUAGCGGUGAAAUUCCAAUCGAGCCCGGAGAUAGCUGGUUCUCCCCGAAAUAGCUUUAGGGCUAGCCUCAAGGUGAGAGAUACGGAGGUAGAGCACUGAAUGUCCUAGGGGGUAUUGCACCUACCGAAGACUAUCAAACUCCGAAUGCCGUCAUCUUAUACUUGGGAGUCAGACUGUGGGUGAUAAGAUUCAUAGUCGAAAGGGCAACAGCCCAGAUCGUCAGCUAAGGUCCCUAAAUGUAAGUUAAGUGGUAAAGGAUGUGGGAUUGCACAGACAACCAGGAUGUUGGCUUAGAAGCAGCCACUCAUUCAAAGAGUGCGUAAUAGCUCACUGGUCGAGUGAUCCUGCGCCGAAGAUUUCCGGGGCUAAAACUUACUACCGAAGCUACGGCAUCAGUAAUGAUGGGUAGGGGAGCUUCCCAUACGGGUUGAAGCAUGACCGUAAGGACAUGUGGACAGUAUGGGAGUGAGAAUGUUGGCAUGAGUAGCGAGAUGUGGGUGAGAAUCCCACAGGCCGUAAACCCAAGGUUUCCAGGGGAAGGUUCGUCCGCCCUGGGUUAGUCGGGACCUAAGCUGAGGCCGAAAGGCGUAGGUGAUGGACAACAGGUUGAUAUUCCUGUACUACCGAUAACCGUUUGAGAGAAGGGAUGACACAGUAGGAUAAGCUAAGCACACUGUUGGUUAUGUGUGCCCAAGCAUUGAGGCAGUCAAAGUAGGCAAAUCCGCUUUGAUAAUGCUGGGAUGUGAUGGGGAGCGAAAUUUAGUAGCGAAGUAGCUGAUUUCACACUGUCAAGAAAAGUCUCUAUCGAGGUUAAAGGUACCCGUACCGCAAACCGACACAGGUGGGUGAGGAGAGUAUCCUAAGGCCAGCGAGAGAACUGUUGUUAAGGAACUCGGCAAAAUGACCCCGUAACUUAGGGAUAAGGGGUGCCACCAUCAGGUGGCCGCAGAGAAUAGGCCCAAGCGACUGUUUACCAAAAACAUAGGUUUCUGCUAAGUCGCAAGACGAUGUAUAGGAGCUGACGCCUGCCCGGUGCUGGAAGGUUAAGGGGAUCUGUUAGAGCAAUCGAAGCAGUGAACUUAAGCCCCAGUAAACGGCGGCCGUAACUAUAACGGUCCUAAGGUAGCGAAAUUCCUUGUCGGGUAAGUUCCGACCCGCACGAAAGGCGUAACGAUUUGGGCACUGUCUCAACAACAGACUCGGUGAAAUUGUAAUUCCGGUGAAGAUGCCGGAUACCUGCGACAGGACGGAAAGACCCCAUGGAGCUUUACUGUAGCUUGACAUUGGGUCUUGGUACUACAUGUACAGGAUAGGUGGGAGGCUUUGAAACCAGGACGCCAGUUUUGGCGGAGCCAUCCUUGGGAUACCACCCUUGUAGUACUGGGACUCUAACCAUAGGCCAUGAAUCUGGUCUUGGGACACUGUCAGGUGGGCAGUUUGACUGGGGCGGUCGCCUCCCAAAAGGUAACGGAGGCGCUCAAAGGUUCUCUCAGUACGGUCGGAAAUCGUACGUAGAGUGUAAAGGCAAAAGAGAGCUUGAUUGCAAGACAUACAGGUCGAGCAAGGAUGAAAAUCGGACUUAGUGAUCCGGUGGUUCUGCGUGGAAGGGCCAUCGCUCAACGGAUAAAAGCUACCCUGGGGAUAACAGGCUUAUCUCCCCCAAGAGUCCACAUCGACGGGGAGGUUUGGCACCUCGAUGUCGGCUCAUCACAUCCUGGGGCUGUAGUAGGUCCCAAGGGUUGGGCUGUUCGCCCAUUAAAGUGGUACGCGAGCUGGGUUCAGAACGUCGUGAGACAGUUCGGUCCCUAUCCGUCGCAGGCGUAGGAAAUUUGAGAAGACCUGUCCUUAGUACGAGAGGACCGGGAUGGACGUACCUCUGGUGUACCAGUUGUCCUGCCAAGGGCAUGGCUGGGUAGCUAUGUACGGAAUGGAUAAGCGCUGAAAGCAUCUAAGCGCGAAGCCAACUUCAAGAUAAGAUUUCCCACCGCAAGGGUAAGACCCCAGAAAGACUAUCUGGUUGA